GAUGAACGCUGGCGGCGUGCUUAACACAUGCAAGUCGAACGGGAAACUUUUCAUUGAAGCUUCGGCAGAUUUGGUCUGUUUCUAGUGGCGGACGGGUGAGUAACGCGUGGGUAACCUGCCUUAUACAGGGGGAUAACAACCAGAAAUGGUUGCUAAUACCGCAUAAGCGCACAGGACCGCAUGGUCCGGUGUGAAAAACUCCGGUGGUAUAAGAUGGACCCGCGUUGGAUUAGUUAGUUGGCAGGGUAACGGCCUACCAAGGCGACGAUCCAUAGCCGGCCUGAGAGGGUGAACGGCCACAUUGGGACUGAGACACGGCCCAGACUCCUACGGGAGGCAGCAGUGGGGAAUAUUGCACAAUGGGGGAAACCCUGAUGCAGCGACGCCGCGUGAAGGAAGAAGUAUCUCGGUAUGUAAACUUCUAUCAGCAGGGAAGAUA
rnacentral:rRNA from 1 species